CUCGCCCCCGACCAAUGGGGCGCGUUGCUUGGGGGGCGGGGAGCGCCGGCGCUCUCAGCUGGGCCCGCGCGCCGCGGCCCCGCCCCCGCCCCCGGCCCGGGCAAGGUGAGGAGGAACCGGAACCGCCACAGCCCCAGCCCGGCCCGAGCCUGGCGGCGCUGUGACCGCGGCUGGGUUUCGGAGUAGCCCGGGGAAGAGGUCGGCCCCACUGCUACGAACGGGGCUGCCGCCGCCAGCAAAACUGGGAGGGCCGCUGGGCUCCGCGCCGGCCGCCUCCGGAGCUGGCGGGUGUGGGCGCAGUUCGGAGCUGCCUGGAGCUGUGGGUGCCGGAGUAGCCGAGGCAGCCGCCGGCGGAGGAGCCGGAGCGCGGAGGCUGCGUGUCGGCAUUGAUGCGGCAGGAUGACAGUGAAACUGGGAGAGAGCAGCGGGGAGGAAGGGGUGAAAAAGCUGGGCAAGAGAGCAGGAGGAGAUGAGGAGUCCCUGGAAGAAGAAGGGGCAGGAGGAGGAGGAGAGGCAGCUCCAGGCAGCAGCAGCACAAAGAAAGAAGAGAAGAUCAUUAACAGCAACACUACCAGCAGCUCCCCACCGAACCCCAGCUUGUCACCGGCCCCUGCCUCUCUCCAGCCCUCCCAGAGCCAGGACCAGCAUCAUUUUCUAAGGUCCAGUGUCAGACCUCAGAGCAAGAGACUGAAGAAGGAUUCCCAGGCAUCCUCCUCGGUAGGCAGCAGCACUGCCGGGAAAGGCAAAGCAGCAGAUAAUGGAGGGGCUGCACCCUGUGGCACAUCAGGAAUUCCUCCCAGCAAUCCUGCUGGGAAUUCCAAGUCAGCAGCAAGGAAUCUGGGUUCCUCAACAGGAGAGAAGGAAGAAGGGAAGAAAGUCCGACGGCAGUGGGAGUCAUGGAGCACGGAGGACAAGAAUACUUUCUUUGAGGGGCUGUAUGAGCAUGGGAAGGAUUUUGAAGCUAUCCAGAACAACAUUGCCCUGAAAUACAAGAAGAAAGGCAAACCAGCAAGCAUGGUGAAGAACAAGGAGCAGGUCCGGCACUUCUACUACCGCACCUGGCACAAGAUCUCCAAGUACAUUGACUUUGACAAUGUGUUUUCUCAAGGGCUGAAAAAAUCUUCCCUGGAGCUGUAUGGCUUAAUCUGCUAUGGGGAACUAAGGAAAAAGAUCGGGGGAUGUAUGGAUGACAAGAACGCAGCUAAACUCAAUGAGCUCAUUCAAGCCGGGGCUACAACUGUUCGUUACAAAGGCAGAAACCUGCGUAUCAAAGCUCCCAUGUGCAGGGCUUUGAAGAAACUCUGUGAUCCAGAUGGUGUGAGUGAUGAAGAGGACCAAAAGCCAGUACGACUUCCCCUCAAGGUCCCUGUGGAGUUGCAGCCACGGAAUAACCAUGCAUGGGCUCGAGUACAAAGUCUUGCCCAGAACCCACGGCUUAGGAUGAUCGUGGAGUUACAUCGGAAGGUCUCCAGCCUCCUUGAAUUCCUGAAGCAGAAGUGGGCUCUACAUGAAGUGCGGGUUCGUAAAACACUUGAAGAACAGCAACUUCGAGACUCCAGAGACUCAGAAACAAGAGGCAGCUUCUCAGAGGAGAAAGUGAUGCUCCAUCUCUUUCCAGGGGAGAACUGUACCAUCACUCCACUGCCUGGGGUAGCCAGAGUGGUCCACUCCAAGGCCUUCUGUACCGUGCAUUGGCAGGAAACGGGCAAAUGCAAACAGAACACAAAAGAUUCUCACUUACUCCCCCCUGCCCAAAUCCUUGGCAUACAGAGUGGUCAGGGGACAGCAAGGGGACAGCUGAAAUACCUGCGGGGGAUGGAAGGUAAGGGUGUGGGAAGGGGAGACAGCACUACAGAGCCCAGCAGAACCUUGCAGCCUACAACUGAAGUUUCUGCAAGCACUGAAGAUGGUGCCCCAGAGCCUGUCCUGGUGGAAGGAAUAGCCUCAAAUCUUGGCAUCACUAAUUCCCUCCAGAAACCACCUUCUGGACUUCAGGAUCCCGGAGAGCACCAGGAAAAGCUGAGCUCAGUGGUCCCCUGCAUGGAGGGCAGGGAGGCCUUGGCUAUUGACCAGGCAGGUGUGCUACCUUCGUGCAGCACAGAGUGUGCUUGCAGCAGGAUCCCUGAUGUGGAGGAGCUCUCUCUGCUUGAUCCAUUCCCACGGUACAUGAAGUCCUGCCAGGACCUAAUCGUCCCAGAGAAAUGUUCCUGCACAGACAAACUGCAUGGGAAAGACUCUGCUUCAGCAGCUGGUAAUGCUUCUCCAGUGGCUUUUCCAAGCAGGAGGAGUGCAGAGACCUCUGACUCUUGUUCCCAGCUACUGAGAGGUGAUGUGGCUUCCCCUAGCAGCAGCAGAUAUGAAACUCAGGCAAGCCACAGCCAGGGCCAGCAGCUUGAUGCUUGUACCAAGGAUAUCACGGAUGCAGUAAUGGAGGAUUCUCAAGAGAAGCUGGGCUCCUCGUUUCCACCUCCACCUCAGGGACAAUCCAGUACAAAGUCUCUCAAGGAUGACCCAAGUCGGCUCUCCCAACAAGUGAGAGAAGAAGGAUGGAGUCUGCGAACCUCUGAGAGCCUUACACUGGCUGAAGUCUACCUCAUGAUGGGCAAACCGAACAAACUGCAGCUGGAAUAUGACUGGUUGGCUGUCUUGGAGCCAGAAACCCAGCAUGCUAGAGAGCAGAUACCUGAGUCAAGUGCUGUCCCUGCAUGUCCUACCUUGCACAAGCAGAGACUCUUGAAUUGCCUUCUGAGACUCAUCUCUACUGAAGUCAAUCCCAAACCAACGCCCGAGAUGAGCUCUAUUGCCACGUCACCUAUAAAGCCUGCUCAGGAGGAGCAGGCCCUGACUCCCCCGGGAAAGGUAAUUGCCAUCAACACCAGGAGUCCUGGCUGCGCACGCAAUCAGUCUGCCCUUCGCAACAAGACUUUUUCUCCUGGUGCUGCUUCCAGCUCCUCAGGUUUGAGAAACCUCCCUAGACCUCUCUUGGUGGCUAGUCCUUCAAGUUCUGGGAGCACUGAGGCUGACAGUGGACUGUUUGCAGUCCCUACAACCCUGCCCCCCAACAGCCGCCAUGGGAAACUGUUCCUACCCAGCAAGGAAGCAGAGCUGACCUUCCGGCAGCACCUGGACACCAUCAGUAUGCAGUCGGACUUCUUCCUUCCGAAGCCCAGGAAGUUACGGAACAGGCACUUGCGGAAGCCACUGGUAGUACAGAGAACACUGCUCCCUAGACCGUCUGGAAAUCCGUCCCAGCAUGUCUGUUCCUUUUCUAUCUUAUCCAACUCAUCCAUUACAGGGAGAGGUUCAUUUCGGCCAAUCCAGUCCUCACUGACCAAAGCUGCUGUUUCUCGUCCAAUUGUGCCCAAAGUUCUUCCAACACAGGCCACCAACCAUCUGUCUAGUGCUAUUGACUUGGCAGCUAAAAGUGCUGGCAUUAUCCCUGGUAGUCCCAUGCCUGUCGUGGAUGCAGAUGGUUUGCCAGGUGUGUCUCCAUUGUCACCGGAUGCAGUGCCUACAGUAGUGACAGGGCAGGAGCCAGCAGUAGCACAUCAGAAUGGAGGCUCCAUCACCACUGUGGAGGGCUCAGGCCCAGGGUGCCGGGUGCCGUACAUCAGCCUGCCGACCCGCCCCGAGCAGGAUGGCUUCCAGGGUACAUCAGUCCUUUCUAUGCCAGAACUGGCCAAGACUUCUCUCCAGAAUGGUCUGUCCACCCCUCCACUUCCCUCAUCAGAAGCUUCCAGUACUCGGCUCUCUCCUCCCAAUGUUUCUGCUCUCUUGGAUAUUUCCCUGCCUGGACCACCUGAAGAUGUGCUUUCCCAAGGCGAACCUGCCACUCAGAUCAGCGAUUCCAUCAUUGAAAUAGCCAUUAGCUCUGGCCAAUACAGUGAAGGUGUUUCUCUCUCUCCUGCAAAGCUGAAUGGCAGUGACAGCUCCAAAAGUCUUCCAUCCCCAUCCAGUAGUCCUCAGCAGAACUGGAUUGCAUCUCCCACCCAUGAUCCCCAGUGGUACCCCAAUGACUCCACAGACUCCUCCCUCAGCAGCUUGUUCUCAAGUUUCAUCUCCCCAGAGAAGGGACGAAAAAUGUUACCAGCUCCAGCUGGGAACACCAGUGGCACCUCCUUACUGGGACCCAGCCUGCUGGAUGGAAACUCACGGGACUCCUUUGUGUCGCGGUCCCUGGCAGACGUGGCAGAGGUGGUGGAUUCCCAGCUGGCUUGCAUGAUGAAUGAGAACAGCAUAGAUUACAUAUCUCGGUUUAAUGACCUUGCCCAGGAACUGUCAAUACCUGAGCCAACUCGCAGGGAGAUCCUUUUUGAUGGAGGUGGUGGUGGUCCCCCGACUGGGGAUCUGUCACAGUAAGGAAAUGACCAGCAGGCUGGUGCAGACUGUUCAGCUAAGUUGGAGCUUGCAGAGCUGGAACUCGAUGAGGGAGCAGCUGAGUCUGAGUUAUCCCUGUCCUGUGUGCCUCUUUCUAACAGAGAAGCAUUGGCUUCAAAGGUCUCAAGAAAUACUUGCAAGUCCUGGAAUGUGCAAUAUGCUGACAACAACAGAACAUGGAAUAACGUUACAGAAGAUAGUGUGUCCCUGCAUCAGCAAUAAAUCCUUCAGAUUUGCAGGACAAAAGUAGAAGGCACCUACUAUGGCUGUGGAUUACAGAACGUGCAGGAGGAAAUGUGUUAGAUUCUAAUCAAGUACUGUCUAAAAAGAAAUCUGAACUCUCAUUCUUAAACUUCUAAAUACUGCAAAAGUAAUGUGAGAGUCUCCAGUGUAUUUGUAACUUGACACUGGGUUUGGCUCUGAAGUUGCCUAGAAUAAAGACCAGUGUUGCAGUACCUGCUGCAGGAGUGGAGAGCAGAGCACUUCAUCCUUAUCCAUGAAGGCUUUUUGCCUGCGAUACAAGGAGCUGUCAGCUGCCUUUCCUCAGCAUACCCAGGGGGAAGGACCCAACUGCAGAAUGAAGGCAGAACAGGUGGCUAUUUUUGAUGACGCUGUGACAUCAGAAAACUUCUAAUACCCUGAACCUUUGCAAGUGGGCUUGAACCACCCAGUAAUAACAGAGUAUAAAUUACAGAAAUCAGUUCAACACUCACAAGGUUGGGUUGGAAGUGUUUGGCGUCAGCCCCUUAAAAGUUGGCAUUAUGAAGCAGAGUUUGAUUUCAGAAAUGUAAUGCAUUGCAAACUGCUUUUUAAGAAUAAAGCCCUUUGAGGAAAAGGGAAGAACUUAAGAAUAAUUAAGAUCAUUGUGUAAUUCUGAAUUGAUGCAGUAUCUGUUACCCUUGCUAUAUGAAAGGCCAUUUAAACACAUUUCUGAUCAGACCAGCUCUAGAUUUUAGGUGAAUGUACUUUACAAUAGUGGUCAUCAUCAGUUUGUGCCUGAGACUGCUAAGGAGGUGGUGUACACACACACACACACACGCGCGCGCGCGCGUACAUGCAUGCACAGAUGGCGGGGAACGUGGUAAUACUCAAAAUUUCUUCAAUUUUAAUUAUUUCAGCUUCCCCAACAACAGUAACAAAAUCUAUAUGAGGGAGAAUGUCAGGCUAAGCAGACAUCCAAGCAAGUAACACUGAAUUGCACACAGUAUCUUUUCUGAGGUAGAAGUGACUUCAUUAGGUUAGUACCUUCCUGGAGCACUAUGAGGUGUUGGAGAGGACUAAGGGACACUAACAGUCUCCACGUCUAGGAUGAACUGCUCUAGGCUUUUCCCUCUCAGUGACCAUAAGGCAGUUCUGAGUAGCUGACAAGGUAAAUGGCAGAAGAUUGGGUGUCUCAUCACCAUGGGCUGAGUGCAGAGCAGUACCAUAGCCCAAGGCUGGAUCCACCCAUGUGUGUGUGCACACAUUGACAGAGAUCUGUACAGGGUGUUGCAUUCUGAUCACUCAUACAAUCCAUUUUAUACUGCAUCCCUAAAUCUACUAAGCGUAGGAAUAGUAAUUGUUUUUUCAUAUAUCAUUGUUAAGCCUUUUUUUGACACCCUCUGUAUUUUUAAAUUGAAUUAAAUGGCUUGAUUCAAAUCUAACGUAUAAAGACAUCUCAUUUACUGACAGCAGAUCCCAGAGUGGAAAUUCAGUUGCAUUUUGUUUUCUACGCUCAGACUUCAGAUGCAUUUAUAAGGAAAGUACUGCACUUUUUUUUAACCUUUUCAAACCUUUCAGUCUGUUAAUUUCACAGCAAGUUGUAAAUGUUACCUAAGUGAAACCUUGGCAAGCACUACGGCAAUAAGUUAUCAUUAAUUAUUGAACAUGAUAACUGCUUUAGAGCUUACAAUUCUGGCAGCAGAAUGUAAUGCUGUUUCUUUUAAUAAUAGUUAAGCCAUAUCAUCUAAGGUUUCUGGCUUGUUUGAGAUGUGAAUUUGUUUUAUAGAUUAUAAAUAUAUAGUGUAUGUAUAAAGCAAAAUGCCUGUCCUUACUGAUUAUUUUUUGUACCAUACUGUAAAUUAUAUUAUUUAUUCUUUACCAAUUUUGGAAAAAGGUGUUUUGGUUAUUUAAUAUAAUAUACAAAAGCUGUUAAACUUCUUCUGUUUAAAUUUCCAAUUCAACUUGUAAAGCUGUUUUUAUUCUUGUGCAUAAAUACAUACUAAUACUUGGUCUAA